ACGGUAACGAACUAGCUUGCUAGUUGCUGACGAGUGGCGGACGGGUGAGUAAUACUUAGGGAUCUGCCUCUGUGUGGGGGAUAACUAUUGGAAACGAUAGCUAAUACCGCAUAACGUCUCCGGACCAAAGAGGGCUUUCGAGCUCUCGCGCAGAGAGGAACCUAAGCGAGAUUAGCUUGUUGGUGAGGUAAAGGCUCACCAAGGCGACGAUCUCUAGCUGUUCUGAGAGGAAGAUCAGCCACACUGGAACUGAGACACGGUCCAGACUCCUACGGGAGGCAGCAGUGGGGAAUAUUGCACAAUGGGGGCAACCCUGAUGCAGCCAUGCCGCGUGUGUGAAGAAGGCCUUCGGGUUGUAAAGCACUUUCAGUUGUGAGGAAAGUUAUGUAGUUAAUACCUGCAUGAUGUGACGUUAACAACAGAAGAAGCACCGGCUAACUCCGUGCCAGCAGCCGCGGUAAUACGGAGGGUGCGAGCGUUAAUCGGAAUUACUGGGCGUAAAGCGCACGCAGGCGGUCUGUUAAGCUAGAUGUGAAAGCCCCGCGCUCAACGUGGGAGGGUCAUUUAGAACUGGCAGACUAGAGUCUUGGAGAGGGGAGUGGAAUUCCAGGUGUAGCGGUGAAAUGCGUAGAGAUCUGGAGGAACAUCAAUGGCGAAGGCAACUCCCUGGCCAAAGACUGACGCUCAUGUGCGAAAGUGUGGGUAGCGAACAGGAUUAGAUACCCUGGUAGUCCACACCGUAAACGCUGUCUACUAGCUGUUUGUGGAUUUAAUCCGUGAGUAGCGAAGCUAACGCGAUAAGUAGACCGCCUGGGGAGUACGGCCG
rnacentral:rRNA from 1 species